GUCCCCAUAGCCCAAUCGGUAGAGGCAACCGACUUAAAAUCGGUUCAGUGUCGGUUCGAGUCCGACUGGGGAUACUA
rnacentral:tRNA from 1 species